AUACGGAGGGUGCAAGCGUUACUCGGAAUCACUGGGCGUAAAGCGCGCGCAGGCGGCCAUUUAAGUUGGAUGUGAAAGCCUACGGCUCAACCGUAGAACUGCAUCCAAAACUAUUUGGCUAGAGUGUGGGAGAGGAAGAUGGAAUUAGUUGUGUAGGGGUAAAAUCCGUAGAGAUAACUAGGAAUACCAAAAGCGAAGGCAAUCUUCUGGAACACUACUGACGCUGAGGCGCGAAAGCGUGGGGAGCAAACGGGAUUAGAAACCCUUGUAGUCC
rnacentral:rRNA from 1 species